rnacentral:lncRNA from 1 species
GGGUACUGUGUUUCUAUUUUCAUUGGAAAGAAGAUAGAAAAGAUUGAAAAAGAGAACAACUUUUAAAAAAACUAAACUUGUUCUUUUUUGUUUGUUUUAGUUUAGUUUUGUUUUUGAGAUGGUCUUGUUCUGUUACCCAGGCUGGAGUGCAGUGGUGUGAUCAUGGCUCACUACAACCUCAACCUCUGGGGCUCAAGCAGUCUUCCAGCCUCAGACUCCUGAGUAGGGGACCACAGGCACUUGCCACCAUGCCCAGGGAGUCACCUAAGUGGCAAGUGCAGAAAGGAAGAAGUCCUGGAAGAAGGAAGUGGAGUGGACACUUGCUGAAAGAAAUCUUAACUCUAGUAUCUUCCCAGUGCAGUUCCUAUUUUGGGUUUCAACUCCCCCAGAGGAGUCCUUUUAGUGCAGCUCCUGACUGCCCGAUUCCACCGGACUUCUCUCAGUAGACAGACUGAAGGGCAGAUCAAAGGCUAGAGCCUGCGCUCUGCCACGCCCUUGCUUCUGCCCAGAAGGGAGCCUUCUUCUCAUCACCUCUUGAAGAGCCACCUUUGCUCCCAGGAGAGCACACUUAGCUCGUUUGCUGCCAGGCCCUCCACACACUCUGCACUCUUUAGAGCCACCUGCCAGUUCUCUCCCUUCUGAGACCCUAGUAUUUUGUGGUUAGCGCUACGAAACUGUGUCCCUAAGGCUCCUUGCCAGUCGCCACUGAAGACUUCUCAGCCUAAAGAGCCCUUGGCCAAAGUCCCCACCCACCGCCCCUGCCGCGCGCCAUUGAGCCCCCGCGCCGCAGACCUUGAGGUCCUGCUCCAGGCUGCGCAACAGCUCCCCGUCGAUUUCCCCGGUCUGGGCGUAGCGGAGCCUUUUGCGCUCGGCUUUGCGGAGGCGGUACUGCAGGAUCCGGCAGUUUUUGUUGGCUCUCUCCAACUCGUGGCGCAUUUCCUGCAGUUGACAGGCAUCCUCCUCGAAGAAAGUGUCCCUCAUCUCGUCCAUCUCGGUUCUCAGCUCAUCGAUCUCGUUCUGAGGCGGUGACAGGCCGCGUGUCAAAAUCAAACUCGCUUCCAGCCCUUCCGACACACACCGUACACACCCCAUUCCAAUUCCAAAUUCUCAGCUUUAAUUGCCCUCUCUCUCCACGAGACAGGAGUGACAAGGAGCUGAGUACAGAAGAGGAAACUGGGGGAAAAAGGCCCACUUUAGGCCCUCUCUCGUUCUCUUACUCUACCUCUCUCCAGGAAGAAGUGUGACAAACCAUUAUAAUUAGAGAAACGGAGGCCCAGAUUUGAAUUUAAAUGAAAACCUCGCGUUACUGAGAGCAGAUUCAAAUUCCGGCAAGGCCUAGGAAACCCCCUCCCUCCUUUCUUGUUCUCCUCCCUCUUCAAGGCUCCCUAACAG